UUCUGGAUAAAUCAUUCAAGUGCCUCUAUAUCAUUAAAUCCCAGAAGUGCUUAUAUGGGGAACGCGUCUUUAAUGCAUUGAAAUCCCCAAAUUCAGGCUAUACGUUUUCAUCUACCCGUUGAAAACGUCAGGAAUAGAAUCCGAUGCCUUUAGCCAUGGGUUAUUUUGCUUUGGACGCGUCUACCUGUUGCAAGGAAAAGCGAACACUUCUUUGGUAAUAUUUCAGAUUGCAGAUGCAGCAAUGAGAUGCAAAGUUGUAUGCCAGGAUCUCAAGAUUUCCAAAGCGAGGAGUUCGGGAGGAUGAACAGCUCUCAGGAAACGGUCAACAGCUCUCAGGGUGCAAUUCUAAAGGUCAUUUGUUAUCACAUCUGUUACUGUCAAGGCAUCCUCUCUGAGGCAAAGCGCAUCUGAGAGGCUGGAAACCCUAGGAGGUUCUAUGGUAGGAUUUUUCUCUCACAUGCUGCAUGAUGAGACUGAAAAGAGCACAUUCAUCUGUGGAGUUCUCCCAGUGUCAGGGGAAAAUGUCAGAAACCUUUUCCCUCUGCCAUGUUUCACUGGGACCUUCAUUUCCCAGAGAGUGUCCAGACUUUUAAGUGCAAAGCCUACCACUCAGUUAAUAUUAGGAUUGAUUUCACCUGAGUCUCUUGGGGAAGAGUAAAUCUGGAGACCAUAAUUUGUCAGAAAGUCCAAGAUUUCUUGACUGUGGCUAUGAAGAACAGGGAGGGAGAAAGGAAGAAUGCCAGGGUUGAAUGACCUCUUAGUUUUGCUUGUGUUGGAACUUCCCAAUGCUGAAAGCUGUUCACACCAUGGAAGUUAUGGAACUGAUGAGGCUGGGCAAAUCAUGCCUCUCAGGCUUGAAGGUAGAGUCCUGCUUUGUGCUUCCCAUCAUCCACUAGGAUCACCAUGCCACAUUCUGCUGGAAAAAUGACAGAAGGAUUUUGCAUAUGGAAAUGAAGUCAAGCAUGCAUUUUAUGGCAGUAAUCUAAUUAUUUACAUUAAUAUAGUAGCAUUACAUUACAACUCUCUGAGGAAAAAAAAAAGGCAGAAUUUAGAAUAUCCCGUUCUCGACCCAAAAGAGUGUUAUCUAGUCCAGUUUUUAAAUAGCCUGUGAGUAUAGUAAAGUACCUAAUUAACUUAAGAAGAGUUUUUACAUCAGGUAGAGAAUAUGUAUUUUAAAAUGUAAUCACAUACCAGAGUACUUGUUCACUUAAUCUGUCAUUUAUAGGACAACAUAUUAGAAUAAUAUUAUGGGCCGAAGUAUCCCCUAGCACAAGCUGGUAAAGCCUGUUGGGAUCUAUGUAGCUGUGCCAAUUAUAUCAGUGAGUAACAGUUUUGUAUUUUAUUUUAUAUUUAAUAGAUAGACAAAUUAACUAAACUAUGACAUGUCUGUGUUCAUAUUUUGGAAAAGAAAUUGUUUGUGUAACUUGAAGAAAGUGAAGAUACAGUAGCCUAAAGCAUAAACCAUUUUUAAGCAUAAAUGAAUUCAGAUUCUUUACACAUUUUAAGAUUUCACUUGAUUUUUAACAUAUAUAUUGCUCUACAAAGGCAAAAUGUGGUAUUUUGUGGAAGAGGCUUUUGUCCUUGUCUGCAAAGAAGAGGUGUUUCAGAACUGUUCCACAUUGUAUUUUACAUGGCAGACAGAGGAUAAAACCCAGUGAAUUCUGCAUCU